rnacentral:ncRNA from 2 species
GGUUGGAAUGGUUUAUAACCAUUUUUCAAGAAAUACGGUCUUCAGGGUGGGAGGCU